rnacentral:rRNA from 1 species
AUGGAAUUGCGAUCGGGCCGUCGCCUCAGCUCUCUGCCGCCGCGCAAGCGCAACAAGUCGCUCAAUCGGCGUUCCAAUCGUAUCACGGAGUCAACGCCGUCCAACAUCGACAUCGGCCGGGAUGAGGACAGAAUCAGCACGCUCUCGGACUACCUCCUCCUCGGAAUCCUCGAACGGGUCGACCUUCCCUCGGCCGUCCGCGCCGGCGCGGUCUCGACGCGGUGGCAGCACCUCCCGCACCAGCUAUCGCACCUGCACCUCGAUGUUGGCCACUUCCCCGGCGCCACGCCGCUCGAGACCAUGGACGCCUUCACGGGCGCGAUGCGCAGGUUGCUGUCCACGUGUUCUCCUGCGGCUGACUGCAACAGCAGUCGUGCCAUCAAGACCCUAAUUCUCAGCUUCUACAUGUCAUCCACUCACCUUUGCUCCAUUGGCCGCACCGUCGAGGACGUCGUCACCCACAGCGCGACUGAAAGGCUUGAGUUUAACAUAUCCCUGCCGUCUGCGAACAAAACGAGGUUUGGGAAGCAGUUCAUGUCCUUCUCCCGCUCCUGCCGGGUCACCUUUCGAUGUCUCACGAGGCUUACACUCAAGAACCUUGCUUUUGGACAUUCCGACGUCACAAAUCUCAUUAACGCUUGUGAUAGGCUCGACCACCUCACCCUGAGUUGUUGCAGAUUGGUUAAGCACUCCGCGCUCAAGAUUGACACGCCUUGUUCCGGAAUCAAGGAGCUCAAGUUCAUCUGCUUUAUGUGCACGUGGAUCGAGCUCAUCUCUGUCCCUAAACUUAGGCAAGUGCGGUGCGUAUGUUGGCCCUUCGAAAACCCUCCGGUGCGCUUCGGCUACGUUCUAGAGCUUCGUGAUGUAAGUCUUAUAAAUGAAGCCAUGGCAUGGCAGGCACCAUUCAAACUGAGUGAGUGCCUAUCAAGGAGUGCCAAGAACCUGUCGAGACUGAUACUUCAUUUUGGCCACCAAAUGAUUUGGAUUCAGCCAGAACAUCCGAAGAACCUUGCUGCUAUAUUCAGAAACUUGGCCACUGUGUUUCUUUUGGGUAUGUUCCGUGAGUGUGAUCUAAGCUGGACUCUGUUUACACUUGAAGCUGCACCUGCCUUGCGGAGUAUUACAUUAUUUCGACAUUCAUGUGUCAAAACACCCGAGAGCAGUGCCGAAAAGACCAACGUGGUCUGGGAGCUAUCCAAGGAUUUGAAGCACCUGAACUUGAAGGUGUUGCUGAUCUUUGGGUGUGAGGACGAAGACAGGGUGACAAACUAUAUAAGGCUUGUCAUGGAACGAGCUAAGGGAUUGAAGAGAAUCGACCUGCGUGGUGAAUACCCAUGCGAGGACUGCAACACCAUCGACCUUGAAAGAUCCAACGUGGAAAAGGAUGGCAGGCGUCGGAUUAAGGAGGGACUCACCCAUGGAUCCUCCUCGUCCGUGGAAAUAAUAAUAUGUUGA